CUAAACUUCUUUAGUGUGAUCAUUGCAAGAAACCAAGGCGUGUAAAAGAAAAGUGUUGGAUUCUUCAUCCCCAUCUCAAACCAUCUAAAUUCCAGAAUCCAAACAAAGGUGCUGCAAUGCAAGCUUUGCAGGAUGAUGUCUUUACAAAAGAGAAUGUUGAAUGCAUCAAGCAAUUCAUCCAAGCCAUGAAUCUCAACAAGCAGAAUGGAUACUAAGACAUGUCAUAUGUUUGGAAAGGGAGCGUUGAAGAAUAAUCUCUACUUGAUUGAAGACUCAAGUUGUCCUGCAUUUGCUCUUAAUUCUGUCUGACAUGCUAGGCUAGGGCAUCCUCACUACAAAGCGCUUAAGCAUCUCUUACCUAAAGUUGCUUAUGACCAUAAGUUGUGUAAGGCUUGUAUUCUAGGAAAGCAUUGUCGCUCUGUUUUUCACGAUUCUCAAACUAUUUAUGAAAAUUGUUUUGAUCUUGUUCACUCUGAUA